rnacentral:rRNA from 1 species
AGGUUUCCGUAGGUGAACCUGCGGAAGGAUCAUUAUUGAAUUUUGAGCUGUGCUGGUUCUCUAGAGAGCAAUGUGCACGCUUUUUAUUUAUCUUCCCCACUCCUGUGCACCUUUUGUAGACCUCUCGAGGUCUAUGUUUAUUACACAAACCAGUAUGUUAUAGAAUGUAUUAUAUGGGCCUUUGUUUGCCUAUAAACCCAUUACAACUUUCAGCAACGGAUCUCUUGGCUCUCGCAUCGAUGAAGAACGCAGCGAAAUGCGAUAAGUAAUGUGAAUUGCAGAAUUCAGUGAAUCAUCGAAUCUUUGAACGCACCUUGCGCUCCUUGGUAUUCCGAGGAGCAUGCCUGUUUGAGUGUCAUUAAUAUCUAUCAACCCCCUGCCUGGGUUGGAUGUGGGUUUGCUGGUCAAUUUAUUUGAUCAGCUCUCCUUAAAUGCAUUAGCAGAAUGAAUUGCUUUCAUUUGGUGUUGAUAACUCUUAUCUACGCUUUGAAAUGUAAAAAAAGUUCAGCUUCUAACCCUAUUAUUUAUUUAAUGUGACCUCAAAUCAGGUAGGACUACCCGCUGAACUUAAGCAUAUUAAUAAGCGGAGGAAAAGAAACUAACAAGGAUUCCCCUAGUAACUGCGAGUGAAGCGGGAAAAGCUCAAAUUUUAAAUCUGGCAGUCUCUUUUGGCUGUCCGAGUUGUAAUCUAGAGAAGUGUUAUCCGCGCUGGACCGUGUACAAGUCUCCUGGAAUGGAGCAUCAUAGAGGGUGAGAAUCCCGUCUUUGACAUGGACUGCCAGGGCUUUUGUGAUGCGCUCUCAAAGAGUCGAGUUGUUUGGGAAUGCAGCUCAAAAUGGGUGGUAAAUUCCAUCUAAAGCUAAAUAUUGGCGAGAGACCGAUAGCGAACAAGUACCGUGAGGGAAAGAUGAAAAGAACUUUGGAAAGAGAGUUAAACCGUACGUGAAAUUGCUGAAAGGGAAACGCUUGAAGUCCAGUCGCGUUGUCCAGGGAUCAACCCUUGCUUUUGCUUGGUGUACUUCCUGUUUGACGGGUCAGCAUCAAUUUUGACUAUUGGAUAAAUGUCAGGUGGAAUGUGGCAUCUUAGGAUGUGUUUAUAGCCCUUGAUAGUAUACAAUAGUUGGGAUUGAGGAACUCAGCACGCCGUCAAGGCCGGGUUUGUGAAAACCACGUACGUGCUUAGGAUGCUGGCAUAAUGGCUUUAAUCGACCCGUCUUG